CCGCCCACCCAGGCUUCCGCCUCUCGGCUGGGGUUCGGGGAGCCUCGGCAGCCCAGCCGGUGUCCUCUCGGUCCGCCCCAGGGCGCUGUUGUUUACAAAGCAUUUUCUUUUUUUUUUUAAACUUAAAAAGAUUUUUAAAAAAUUAUCUGUAUUUGUUUAUUGGGUAGAGACAACCAGAAAUUGAGAGGAGGAGGAGACAGAGAGGGAGAGAGACAAAGAGACACCUGCAGCCCUGCUUCACCGGGGGCUCGAACCCCGGCCCUUGUGCACUGUAACGUGUGCACUCAAUCAGGUGUGCCACCACCCAGCCCCCCGGUUUUUAAAACUUAAAAAAAAAUUUUUAUUGGAUAGAGAGAAAUUGAGAGGGAGAGGGAGAAAGAGACCCCUGCAGCCCUGCUUCUCCACUCGUGAAGCUUCCCCCCUGCAGGGCUUCACGACUCUGGGAUGACUUUCUCAGAGACAGGAAGAGAGAGACACGGCCGCGGACCUUGCCUCCCGCAGAGCAGCUGCUGGAGCCUGGGCUGAGAGCGUGGCCAAGCGGGUGCCCUCCCAGCUGCAGAAGUACCCCCUGGACUCAGCCUUGCCAAGGAACCUUCUUCACAGCCCACUUCAAAAGACAAGGUCCUCACCCCCAGGCCCACUUCUCCCCAGCACAGCUAGAGAAACUGGAAUGCUGGAGGGGGCGCAGAGGAGACACAC